AAACUAACAAGGAUUCCCCUAGUAACUGCGAGUGAAGCGGGAAAAGCUCAAAUUUAAAAUCUGGCGGUCUUCGGCCGUCCGAGUUGUAAUCUGGAGAAGCGUUUUCCGCGCUGGACCGUGUACAAGUCUCUUGGAACAGAGCGUCAUAGAGGGUGAGAAUCCCGUCUUUGACACGGACUACCAGUGCUAUGUGAUGCGCUCUCGAUGAGUCGAGUUGUUUGGGAAUGCAGCUCAAAAUGGGUGGUAAAUUCCAUCUAAAGCUAAAUAUUGGCGAGAGACCGAUAGCGAACAAGUACCGUGAGGGAAAGAUGAAAAGCACUUUGGAAAGAGAGUUAAACAGUACGUGAAAUUGCUGAAAGGGAAACGAUUGAAGUCAGUCGCGUGUGCUAGAACUCAGCCUUGCUUUUGCUUGGUGCAUUUUCUAGUGUACGGGCCAGCAUCAGUUUUGGCCGCCGGAAAAAGGCCUUGGGAAUGUGGCACCUUCGGGUGUGUUAUAGCCCUUGGUUGUAUACGGUGGCUGGGACUGAGGAACAUAGCAUGCCUUUACGGCGGGGCUUCGGCCACCUUCAUGCUUUGGAUGCUGGCGUAAUGGCUUUAAACGACC
rnacentral:rRNA from 1 species